ACACCGGCAGCUCAAGUGGUAGCCGCUUUUAUUGGGCCUAAAGCGUCCGUAGCCGGUCUGAUAAGUCUCUGGUGAAAUCGCGCAGCUUAACUGUGGGAAUUGCUGGAGAUACUAUCAUGACUCGAGGUCGGGAGAGGCUGGAGGUACUCCCAGGGUAGGGGUGAAAUCCUGUAAUCCUGGGAGGACCACCUGUGGCGAAGGCGUCCAGCUGGAACGAACCUGACGGUGAGGGACGAAAGCCAGGGGCGCGAACCGGAUUAGAUACCCGGGUAGUCCUGGCCGUAAACGAUGUGGACUUGGUGUUGGGAUGGCUUCGAGCUGCCCCAGUGCCGAAGGGAAGCUGUUAAGUCCACCGCCUGGGAAGUACGGCCGCAAGGCUGAAACUUAAAGGAAUUGGCGGGG
rnacentral:rRNA from 1 species